rnacentral:rRNA from 1 species
GGUUAAGCGACUAAGCGUACACGGUGGAUGCCCUGGCAGUCAGAGGCGAUGAAGGACGUGCUAAUCUGCGAUAAGCGUCGGUAAGGUGAUAUGAACCGUUAUAACCGGCGAUUUCCGAAUGGGGAAACCCAGUGUGUUUCGACACACUAUCAUUAACUGAAUCCAUAGGUUAAUGAGGCGAACCGGGGGAACUGAAACAUCUAAGUACCCCGAGGAAAAGAAAUCAACCGAGAUUCCCCCAGUAGCGGCGAGCGAACGGGGAGCAGCCCAGAGCCUGAAUCAGUGUGUGUGUUAGUGGAAGCGUCUGGAAAGGCGCGCGAUACAGGGUGACAGCCCCGUACACAAAAAUGCAC